GACAGAGGUGGCUAGCGUUGUUCGGAUUCAUUGGGUGUAAAGGGUGCGUAGGCGGUUUAGAAAGUCAGAUGUGAAAGCCCACAGCUUAACUGUGGAACUGCAUCUGAAACUUCUGAACUUGAGUGCGAGAGAGGUAAAGGGAAUUCCCGGUGUAAGGGUGAAAUCUGCAGAGAUCGGGAGGAACACCAGUAGCGAAGGCGCUUUACUGGCUCGUAACUGACGCUGAGUGAACGAAGGUAUGGGGAGCAAACGGG
rnacentral:rRNA from 1 species